GGAUGACUAGUUGUCUCUCUACUUCCACUGUGCGUGCUCUCUCUCCCCUGCAAUGAUUGGUGAGCACUUCGUGGACAGAAAGAAGCACAUAGUUAGAGAUGAAUGAGCCUGGAGACUAAAUCGCAAAGCAUAUUAACACCUAGGGGAAGUAGCAGCCUCCUUUCCAGAUGGAGAAGCCCCAAUCCUGGAUGGUUCUGUAGAGAGCCUGAUGGUCAACUUGCAAUACCUCACAGAGCCAGCCCACAUCCCACUCAGCUCCCACGAGAAACGUUGUUGGAGAGAGGCAGAGAUGGCAGGAGCCCUGUCCUCCGUGCCAGGACUUUACUGGGCUUUGGUACUGACUGAGUGGCUGACAAGUUAUCUUCCAAUUCCAAUUGGCUGGGCAGGACAAGGGCUAGGAAUGACGGUGGUCAGGCUUGCCUGCUCCCAGCCCAGGAUGCCCCUGCUAUGGACCUUUCAUUUCUUU
rnacentral:lncRNA from 1 species